rnacentral:rRNA from 1 species
CCUACGGGUGGCAGCAGUGGGGAAUAUUGCACAAUGGGGGAAACCCUGAUGCAGCAACGCCGCGUGAGUGAUGACGGCCUUCUGGUUGUAAAGCUCUGUCUUCAGGGACGAUAAUGACGGUACCUGAGGAGGAAGCCACGGCUAACUACGUUCCAGCAGCCGGAGUAAUACGUAGGUGGCGAGCGUUGUCCGGAUUUACUGGGCGUAAAGGGAGCGUAGGCGGACUUUUAAGUGGGAUGUGAAAUACUCGGGCUCAACUUGAGUGCGGCAUUUCAAACUGUAAGUCUAGAGUGCAGGAGAGGAGAAUGGAAUACCUAGUGUAGCGGUGAAAUGCGUAGAGAUUAGGAAGAACACCAGUGGCGAAGGCGAUUCUCUGGACUGUAACUGACGCUGCAUCUCGAAAGCGUGGGGAGCAAACAGGAUUAGAUACCCUUGUAGUC